GCGGGUGUGGCGGAACUGGCAGACGCGCUAGACUUAGGAUCUAGUUCUUCGGAGUGCAGGUUCAAUUCCUGUCACCCGCACCA
rnacentral:tRNA from 1 species